UACGUAGGGUGCGAGCGUUGUCCGGAAUUAUUGGGCGUAAAGGGCUCGUAGGCGGUCUGUUGCGUCAGGAGUGAAAACUCGGGGCUUAACCCCGAGCCUGCUUCUGAUACGGGCAGACUAGAGGUAUGCAGGGGAGAACGGAAUUCCUGGUGUAGCGGUGAAAUGCGCAGAUAUCAGGAGGAACACCGGUGGCGAAGGCGGUUCUCUGGGCCGAUACUGACACUGAGGAGCGAAAGCGUGGGGAGCGAACAGG
rnacentral:rRNA from 1 species